rnacentral:rRNA from 1 species
GAUGAACGCUGGCGGCGUGCCUAAUACAUGCAAGUCGAGCGAACGGACGAGAAGCUUGCUUUUCUGAUGUUAGCGGCGGACGGGUGAGUAACACGUGGAUAACCUACCUAUAAGACUGGGAUAACUUCGGGAAACCGGAGCUAAUACCGGAUAAUAUUUUGAACCGCAUGGUUCAAAAGUGAAAGACGGUCUUGCUGUCACUUAUAGAUGGAUCCGCGCUGCAUUAGCUAGUUGGUAAGGUAACGGCUUACCAAGGCAACGAUGCAUAGCCGACCUGAGAGGGUGAUCGGCCACACUGGAACUGAGACACGGUCCAGACUCCUACGGGAGGCAGCAGUAGGGAAUCUUCCGCAAUGGGCGAAAGCCUGACGGAGCAACGCCGCGUGAGUGAUGAAGGGCUUCGGAUCGUAAAACUCUGUUAUUAGGGAAGAACAUAUGUGUAAGUAACUGUGCACAUCUUGACGGUACCUAAUCAGAAAGCCACGGCUAACUACGUGC